rnacentral:lncRNA from 1 species
GUAGAUACCAAUUUCCCACUCAAUAAUAAGGUAGAAGACACCUUCCUAAAAAGCAACUUAGCCAACGGCUAACACAAGCUAAAAGCUUAAUUUUAUUGAUCUCAAACUUCCAUGUUUACAACCAAAGAAGUAAGGCCUUUAUACAAGCAUAAUCCUUACUAAUUCUAUUAGAAUUCAAAAAUUAAAUCCUAAAAAAACUCUAAUUAUAUUCUUAUAUAGGAAUAUAAUA